UGUAUUAGGUUGGUGCAAAAGUAAUUGUGGUUUUUGCCAUUAUUUUCAAUGGCAAAAAAAACUCAAUUACUUUUACACCUACCUAGUACUU
rnacentral:miRNA from 1 species